CAAAUCUUCCACAAUAAUGCAUGAGCAAAGGGACGACUACUUGUACUAUGAGAAACAAGCGAUAACUUCUGCAGACCACUCAUCAAUCGAGUACGAUAACAACUCAAAGAUGCGAUUCCUGAUCAAGUCAGCAGAAGAAAGUACUCUCACAAGAGAACUAGUGGGAAAUACAAAGGCAAAAUUCUCCCAAAAGAUCAUUGUACAGAGACACAAGUUCAGGAGCGAUUACAACCGAAGGGAGCCUAAGACUACUGCAAGUUAACGAACUUGGCUACCUCCUCGGCUAUGGGGUCUAACUCCUCCAAGUAUUGCUUAUACGUCUCGUCCGAACAAUCUGCAGCAACACCUUCCGCAACCAGGGAAAGAUCUGCUUUGGGAUAGAAGGACUUGACGAAUCCUAACAGCUGCUUGGAUAUGGAUUUCGCCAUGCCCUGGAUCAAGCUGGUUAUCUUCCCCGGCGCAUCCCUGAUCCUGUCGAUCAAAGGACGGGGCUCUACUCCGUCCGCAGGGGGCUCCACUAGGUCCGCC
rnacentral:lncRNA from 1 species